rnacentral:rRNA from 1 species
AUGAACGCUGGCGGCGUGCCUAAUACAUGCAAGUCGAGCGAACAGACGAGGAGCUUGCUCCUCUGACGUUAGCGGCGGACGGGUGAGUAACACGUGGAUAACCUACCUAUAAGACUAGGAUAACUUCGGGAAACCGGAGCUAAUACCGGAUAAUAUAUUGAACCGCAUGGUUCAAUAGUGAAAGACGGUUUUGCUGUCACUUAUAGAUGGAUCCGCGCCGCAUUAGCUAGUUGGUAAGGUAACGGCUUACCAAGGCAACGAUGCGUAGCCGACCUGAGAGGGUGAUCGGCCACACUGGAACUGAGACACGGUCCAGACUCCUACGGGAGGCAGCAGUAGGGAAUCUUCCGCAAUGGGCGAAAGCCUGACGGAGCAACGCCGCGUGAGUGAUGAAGGUCUUCGGAUCGUAAAACUCUGUUAUUGGGGAAGAACAAAUGUGUAAGUAACUAUGCACGUCUUGACGGUACCUAAUCAGAAAGCCACGGCUAACUACGUG